rnacentral:rRNA from 1 species
UGGGGAAUAUUGGACAAUGGGCGCAAGCCUGAUCCAGCCAUGCCGCGUGAGUGAUGAAGGCCCUAGGGUUGUAAAGCUCUUUCAACGGUGAAGAUAAUGACGGUAACCGUAGAAGAAGCCCCGGCUAACUUCGUGCCAGCAGCCGCGGUAAUACGAAGGGGGCUAGCGUUGUUCGGAAUUACUGGGCGUAAAGCGCACGUAGGCGGAUUGUUAAGUUAGGGGUGAAAUCCCAGGGCUCAACCCUGGAACUGCCUCUAAUACUGGCAAUCUCGAGUUCGAGAGAGGUGAGUGGAAUUCCGAGUGUAGAGGUGAAAUUCGUAGAUAUUCGGAAGAACACCAGUGGCGAAGGCGGCUCACUGGCCUGGUAUUGACGCUGAGGUGCGAAAGCGUGGGGAGCAAACA